rnacentral:rRNA from 1 species
UACAGAGGGUGCGAGCGUUGUUCGGAAUCAUUGGGCGUAAAGGGCGCGUAGGCGGCCAGACAAGUCUGGGGUGAAAUCCCUCGGCUCAACCGAGGAAUGGCCUUGGAAACUGUAUGGCUGGAGUACUGGAGAGGAAAGCGGAAUUCCCAGUGUAGCGGUGAAAUGCGUAGAUAUUGGGAGGAACACCGGUGGCGAAGGCGGCUUUCUGGACAGUCACUGACGCUGAUGCGCGAGAGCUAGGGGAGCAAACAGG